AUUGAUGCAUUUGAAAAAUAAACACACGUUAAUAACUAUUAUUGAAGCUUAAAGCUUGGCAAUAAUGACAUAAAAUUGUUUUAUAUCGUGAGUCGUGACUUAAUUGAGUCAGCUCACUGGAAAUUACAUGGCUCCCAUAGAAAUCUAACUGCCAAUUAAACCAAAACCAAUAAUUUUACUGGGGAUUUUGUUUAGCAGUUGCAUUAUGUGUAUUGAAUAGGAACAGAAAUAGGUCGCCCUUCUACAAAUUGUGUAAUCAUCGGUAAUUUGAAAAAGUCCCAUUUUUUUGCUUAGAAGAUAGGGUAUUUUUCAGUCGCUAGGGUAAACUAUCUUAUCUCCAUCUUUUUCUUUCGAUUAGUACAUUUUGUUUUGUUUGAUUUUGAUGCCUUAUUUUUGUCUGUGUCUCGUCGGUCUCAGCUCAAAAUAAGUUUCAUUAAUUAAAAAUGAACAAAACGUGUUGUACGUUGGCGUUAUAUAUUCAUCUUCUACUUAUAGAUUGGCAAUGUGCACACGUACUACGCGUUCACUGUACACUGACCGAAUAUAUACGGAUUUAUUUAUAUAGUUAUUUCUUUUGUGCUGUUUAUCGUGCGAUGUCGCAUAAUUGAAGUGUGUUGAUUGGCAUUUCAGUCAGGCACCCGUUUCUUGGGGCUCCCUCGAGUUCCUGUCGGAGAAUUCUCUCUGGGGAGGGUGGAUUUAGAUAAGGCCGGUGGAAGGACCCGCAGUGGGUCCGAUAUCUUUAUCACCAGUGCUCUCAAUCGAAGAACACAUUUCAAACGAAAUCGAACCCGGUAUUUCUUUCAACAUAUAAAAAGAAGUAAAGAACAAGGCAUGGCAUGAAAUGCAAACCACCAAGUUUCUUCAAGAUAAAAAGGUUUUAAUAAUAAGUCAAUAACAAGUACGCAAUGAAUGCAUUUAUCUCAGUUCAAAUGUUGACUUAUUAGUAAACUGAUAAUGAAGCCAAUAUCCAUGAAUGCAAUUUCAAAAUGUUUGCUGAAAUAAAUUGCAAUCAUUGUGGUGUGGUGGUGAUAUUGAUAAGCUAGGUAAUAAAACGCUAUUUUUUCCUGACCAAAUUUCUGUUGCUGCCCGGGCAAAUAUCAAAUAAACAAAACCGUAAAAGCAUAAAACAUUCAACUGCAACCGGUUUGAAAACUCCUGCACACAAACAAAUCAAUUUAGUGAGAGAAAAGCUCAAACUAAAUAAACGAAGCCCGAAAGAGAAACACAUAAAAAAUUGCACAUAAAUGAAUAUUAAAUCCAGACAAGAACUCCUCUGGUUUGUCUCCUUCUUUAAGAAUCCAGUGGGGCCGAAUAGCAACAAACUGUGUUUUUUCUUCUUAUAUAUAUGUAUAUAUACAUAUAUCUUGCGCUGUAUGUACAUGUAUCCGUAUUGUACGAAAAGGGGAAAACAUAUAUUUUCCCAACUCAUUCUCAUUUUCUUUUUUACGUUUUACGCGCGCGAGACUAAAGGAAUGUUUACGCAUACGUGGAUGUGGCGGAGCGGUCCUUAUAAAAUCCAACGCCUCCCCCGACCGCAAACCGAAUGUAUCUGUAUCUUUAUAGGCAGCUGACAGCGGGGCUUGUUUCAGUUUGUUUUGGAUUGGAUUGGAUAGGAUCGGCCAGCGUUAACGAUGUCUCCGCUUGUUUGUGCCGUCCGUUUCAUUAUAUUUCUCGUUCUUUUCACUACCAGUCGAUUCCAUUCUUUUGAGCCAAUUUUUUUCGCUGCCCGGCCGCCGUUCUUACGUGCAUGUUUUCCUCUUACGCGCAUUUGUUUACUAUAGAUACAUAACAAACUUUAAGAUACAAAUACAGCCGGACGGGCUCGCACACGCAUGUGGCCACUGUAUCUGUAUCUCUCUUUCUUAGCCAUUAAAGCUUGAAUAAUACCUAAGUAAAAAAAGUAAACAAAAGAAGAAAUAUUAUUUUCAAGCGCUCGAAAAAAGGUGGAAAGAAAUGUAAGGAAAGGCAUCUAACAAAUGCUACACUUGUUCUUCGUUCCACGUUUUUUCUUUCCUCUGGUUUUUUGUUUUUGGUAUUUACUGACGCUUUUACUUAAGUGAAUUUCGUGAGUGAGCAUUACAUAAACAGGUGAGUCAAGAUGACAAGAGAACGGGAUGAACUGGAUGUUACCCUUUAUCAUUGAAGAUGAAUUAUUUAAGUGGACUUAGUGGCGUAAGCUCAUUACCAAUUUUCGGGUUAAUAAAAGAGCAAUAUUUUGUAUAGAAAAAAGACAAUCACAUUAAAGAGAAAAAAUUUAAAUAAAUGGUUAGCUAUAAACUUACAACUUUUCUAAUUUGUUCACCCUACUAACUUGUUUCAAGUACCCGAUCCUAAGACAGUAAUGGGUAGUUCAGGGCCGAAAGUUAAAUGGCAAUAUCCGAUACAAUUGUGGGGCUACCGAACAUCGGUAGCAGCAGCAGCAGUAGCAGCAACAACAAUAACUAAAGCACGAACCACAAAUACCACUAAAAUCGAAUUAAGCAGCGGGAGGAGGCACUCAGGUUUAUUUGCUUUUUGAGUGGAACAGCGGGAUAAAAGCGGCAGGGUGAAGGGUUGUGUGUAAUUUGGUAGUUUACUCAAAAGUGUGCCUCAUGUGGAUUAUUUACCUUACAAUUUAACAGGUAGCCCAGAGACUUGUGUAUUUGGUAAAGAUUGCGGCAGGUGGAGGGGGAACCCCGAGGUAUAAAAUAAACCAUUUAUCCACCUUAAUAUGUUUAGGCAAGAAUUUAGCUGUACUUUGCAGCGCUAAGUAUUAAUCAACCAAAUGGGGAAAUACAAUUGAAGCACCCAUAAAAAAGUACUGCAAUCUGAAAAGCACUAUGAAACAGAAUUCAUUAACUAUUGAUUAAAUUAUUAAAUUUAAAUAAAUGGAAAUAUGCCUGAGCAAUAACUUUUAAUUUUGUGAAAACCCUUUUAAACUAUUGAAACUACUACCAAUUGAUUUAUUUUAGGUUGACAUGACUUUGUCUUGAUAUAAAAACCCAUAAUUUAUUGGCUACUUGAUAGAUGAACUUCAUACAAGGGUAGUGGACGAUAAGUUUUAUAAUGUCCAGCCUGGGAGAAAUCAGCAAUCCACUCAACCCCAAGCAAUAUCACACACCUGCUACCUCUUACGAUUACGAAUUCAAGAUUAAUUGAAAUCGGCAGUCCGUUCACCAACAGAAACAAAUGUAGGUAAUUGUGUACUGCUUGAUUUUUGGGUAUUUUAUUAUGAAUUCUACUCAGACAUAAAAAAAGUCAAGAGAAUACAUAUGAAACACAAAAAUUAAGCCAUAACUAUUAAAAGUUAAACAUAUUUUAAGUUAUAUUAUAUACAGAACAUAUCUAUAGAUGCCAGUCAAAUAGUGCUGGUUUGUUUUUGUAGCUCUCAUAAUAAUAUAAGUCAUUUGCAUAAGCAAAAUUAAUAAUGAUAUCCAUUAUAGUGCACAUGUAUCUAUACUAGAUCCGAACAAUCGGUAUACACAAAAUGGAUUGAGCAUGACAACCGACAGUUGACAGCUAAACAACUCAUUAAUGAAUAGCAAACGCUCCACCAGCAAUAGCUACACUUUUAAGCUUAUUACGGAACACACUCUUUAUAAACGUACAUAUGUACAUAUGUAUGUACAUACCGUCAACAGCCGGCAUCCAGUGCACACAAAACUACACUGAGCGUUUAUAUAGAUAUUCUCAGUUCGUAUAACACAAUCAUGAGUGUGUAUAGCACUUGAAAUGGCAAAUGAAUGACAUGACUGCGUACGAACUAACUGACUGACUGACUGACUGACUGACUGACUCUGUGACUAACUGACUGACUGACUGAGCAACCAAUCAACCAGCGACUGAACGAAUGAUCGGUCGACAGAGCAACCGACCGCCAGACGAGUUAAGAUUAAUCAGAGACCCCGACCAUAAAGCAGUACAGUGCCCAACGAAAUUAUAAAUCAUUCAAAAUAGAUUAAAAUGGUAGGGUUGUUAUUGUUGGAAUUAAUGGUAGAAUUAUUAAAAGCAACAAUUUAAAAACGACACAAAAGCUUUACGUUUCUUUUUUUCUAUUUGCAGAAUCAAUGUAUAUUUCAUCUGAAUUUUACUUACAAUCUUUAAUGUUUUAAAAGAUGCUAGUUAUAAAACAAAUAGCGUUGAAAAACAAUUGAAAUUGUUUAAAAAUAUAUAUGUCUCAAUUAAAUUCACAUCGCCAGACAUUUUCGAAACGCACUGUAUUCUCAUGCAUGUGUAUAUUUAUUAGUUUGUUUUUAAUAGUGUGUGAUAUGGGUAAAGAGUCGCACAAUAUAAUGGUUUAAAUGCCAUAUCAGCAACAGUGAAAAAAGAGUAAAACGUCGAAUACAAAUUACAACCCCAACACCAAACCCCUUGAGUUUGCUACCUCCAACCAACACCUUCUGAAAUAUAUAUGUAUACGUAUGGAGAUAAAAUAACAGGCGAUUCUCAAGCAGCAAAUGCACCCAAAAAAGAAUUACAAGCACUUGCACAAAAGUUGUUGUCAACAAGUUUACGAGCCGAACCCGCUAGCACAUACAUAUUGGCGUACAACAAAGCCAUUUGCAACUCUCAUCAUUACCCAGCCCCCAGCAUUAUCAGUUAUAAUCAACCAAGCUUCUCUAGCCUUUUAGCAUCUUUAUUUUGAGUUUAGUUUUCGGUUCGCUUCGUCUUGUUUUUCACUUUGCCAGCUUUGUUGUUAUCCAAAUUUUUUUUGUUUGGUUUUGGUAUUUUAUUUAUAUAUCUCGUGACGUGACGUGAGUAAUAACUAUAUAGAUUAUCUAGGCCCCCAACUUUACGCAGCCCUGUUGUUUUUUAGUCGACUCUUUUUGGCUUGGCAGCACGCACAAGUCUGUCAAGGAAACGGCUUAAAAGUAUUAAUUUUAAAGUGCAAAAAACGCAAUAGCUGUUGAUCUUUGGAACUGCAAACAAUAAACAAGUGCAAGAACACUCUGUGUUGGCAGCUGCAAAGACUUGUAAAAAUGUCCCGAACUCUGAAAUUAAUAAAGAGAUAUAUCUAGACUAUCCCCGAAAUUUUUUUUAUAAAUUAUGCAGCAAGAAGUUAAUUCGUUUUUGAUAGCGGAAGGCCUAACAAUGAAAUCAUUUUACGUAAUUUAACAUUUAACAAGUUGUUUUCCCUGCUGAUACAUAUAUGUAUAAACUGAAAAAUAAAUAUUACUUAUUUGCAACAUUGUAAACUGUAAGUAACAUUCGGUGAGCCAAAUUAAAUGUAUUCCCUUUUUCUAGAAAUGUUCAUUGCCCAAUUAAUUGAUCCAUUUGCUUUCAAAGUUUCUUUAUUCAUUCACAUAAAAUCGGCAAAUAAAGUUCGUAAAGUAUAAUUUAUUAUUGCCUGCUAUAGCUGUUUGAUCAUUUUCAUUAGACGCCAACAAAGCGAAGCACUUUAAAAUGUAUUUGAGUAAAAACUACACAGAACAUCCAGAAAGUAAUAAAUUUUAUUGCAAAAUUGCCUUUUCAUUCAUUUCGCCUCAAAAGCAGAUAAAAAUGUGUUUUUUUUUUUUUACUUUUAGCUAUUGUUGCUAACAAAUACAGACAGGGCACAGAUACAGAUAUAUGUGUUUUUCAUUAAGAAUGAAUUCAUCGUAUGACUGUUUUGUUUGCUUAGUUGGAGAAUGUCUGUCUGUCGGAAUAUUUAUCUAUCUGUAUUUAUAUAUACGUUUUUGUGAUGCAUUACUUUUAGAUAUUCUCACUCACUGAAAACGAGCGAGAGGCGAGUGAGAGAAAUCGAAUAAAUAAACAAAUUCUGAGAACGUUGUGUGUUCGACAAAAUGAAGUAAUACAACGAUAUUGUAAAUGUAAUCGUAUCUCAGUCCAAACAUCUGCAUCUGCUCUCAAAAGUACGGAACAAAUAGAAAUAUACUCGAGUAUCUAUAAUAAUAUAGAAGUAUUAAUUCCUGACAAAACUGAUAGCGAAUAUCAGUACAUUUUUGCAGGCUUAUCAUUUUAAAUAAACAAUUUAAAAUACUCAUUGGCUUAUCAGCGUUUCUUCCUUUCCUUUUUUGCUUUUCAUAUAUUUCACCUCUUCACUUUGAAUACCACCGAAUUUUAAAGUGUGUGUGGAUUGAUAAGCAAGCCUUGUUUACCUCGUCAAACAUUAACACUAAAUAUUUCUCUGUAAGUAUCAAAUAGCCGGAUUUUUGUCCAUUAUUCUGAUUAUUAAUCUUUAGCCUGCAUGUUUCAUUGAAUAAUACCUAAACAUAAAGCACAUUUUAUUAUGUUAAUGUUAAAGCACUUAACUAAGAUACGUUUAAUACAUUUCACUACCAUUUGCAAUGAAAUAUUUUACUAUACUAGGUUAUUAAUAGCAAUAUUUUUUAACGUCCACACUUUAAAAAGUCUCUGUUAUUUGCUUGUUUAAAUUGAAUAAAAUUAAUUCGAAAGAUUGCGCUUAUAUUUUUAUUUUAGAAAAGUAAAAGCUAAAUAAUAUCUGGUUUGAUCUUGAUUUGGAAUCAUAGGCCGGUUCUGAAAUUGAGACGGAUACCGAGACUGGAACGGUAGCCCCCAAGACAGCAGCAUUUAGAGCGGUGCACAUAUAAAAAACAACCGAAAACCAAAAUUUGUCCGGUUUGUUUGGUGGGUUUAUAUUACAGCAUUGAUUUGUGAACCGGUUUGGGAAUGUUUCCAGUAUAAAUACCACAAUUUAUGUUGUUUUGCGCCGUGUGUGCCAUUGUUGGGGCCAACAAACAAACAUUUGCCGGCUUAUUUGGAACGUGUUUUAUAAUACAGGAUAAGCGCUAGCUAUCGCAUCGAAUUUGAAUACAAAUUGUCAUACAUUUUCACAGAAACCGAAAGCAGUUCGCAUAAAUCUCGAUAGGGAAAUUAACGGAGUCUGGGGACCUGGAGUGGGGGAUACGCGAUGAGUAAUACCAUAAACGCUAAUGAGGCCAAGACGGCUUACUCAUCGAAGAUGUCGAAGUACGUGGAAUCCGCCGAACUCAUUCCUACGAACAGGAGGUAGAGGAAAAUGCAAGUCGCAGCAGUAGAUCAACGAAAAGGCAGCUCAGCACAAUAAAAAUUCUAAUAUGAAACAUGGACGUUAGAUGGAUUUAACAAAGAAAAGAAAUAGAAGUUUGGAGCUUGAUUUGGUGCGAGCCAACCAAAGCAAAUACAAACCGCAGAGUUUCAAAGACAA